GGGGACGUUACGGAUUCGACAGGGAUAGUUCGAGCUGUAGCUGCGAGUCGAGGGGAUCGUCCUCGUCAAAACGUCAAAGCCAAUAAUAACUGGCAAACAAAACAACAACUUCGCUUUAGCUGCUUAAUAACAGUCUAUAGCGGUUCCUCCCUCCAUCGCCCAUGUGGUAGGGUAAGGGACUCACUCUAAGUGGGCUACGCCUGAUGCCUCCGUCUGGGGAUAAGGGAAGAGAUCAAUCAGACUAGUUGCUCCGACGCCCGUUGAUAGGCAUACGAGUCAGCGAAUCGCAAAUAUAUCAACUAUACUCGUAGACGCUAUGGUGCCGAUGUUUCUGGACGUGGGUUCGACUCCCACCGUCUCCACCA
rnacentral:tmRNA from 1 species